UGGCUGCCAAAGUGUUUGAGUUCAUCAGCAAGUUUGGCCUGGCCUUAGCUGUUGCAGGAGGCCUGGUGAAAUGAACUCUGCCUUAUAGAAUGUGGAUGCUGGGCACAGAGCUGUCAUCUUUGACCUAUUCCGUGGAGUACAGGACAUUGUGGUAGGGGAAAGGACUCACUUUCUCAUUCCAUGGGUACAGAAACCAAUUAUCUUUGACUGCCCUUCUCGACCACGUAAUGUGCCAGCCAUCACUGGUAGCAAAGAUUUACAGAAUGUCAACAUCACACUGCUCAUCCUCUUCUGGCCUGUCACUAGCCAGUUUCCUUGCAUCUUCACCAGCAUCAGAGAGGACUAUGAUGAGCAGGUGCUGCCAUCCGUCACGACCAAGAUCCUCAAGUCCGUGGUGGCUAGCUUUGAUGCUGGAGAACUAAUCACCCAGAGAGAGCUGGUCUCCAGGUAGGUGAGCAAUGACCUUACUUACAGAGCGAGCAGCCACCUUUGGGCUCAUCCUGGAUGACGUGUCCUUGACACAUCUGACCUUCGGGAAGGAGUUCACAGAAGCGGUGGAAGCCAAACAGGUAGCUCAGCAGGAAGCAGAGGGCCAGAUUUGUGGUGGAAAAGGCUGAGCAGCAGAAAAAGGUGGCCAUCAUCUCUGCUGAGGGCUACUCCAAGGCAGCUGAGCUGAUUGCCAACUCACUGGCCACCGCAAGGGACCGCCUGAUGGAGCUCUGCAAGCUGGAAGCUGCGGAGGACAUCGCGUACCAGCUCUCACGCUCUCGGAACAUCACCUAUCCGCCGGCUGGGCAGUCCGUGCUCCUCCAGCUGCCCCAGU
rnacentral:lncRNA from 1 species